rnacentral:rRNA from 1 species
AUUGAACGCUUGCGGCAGGCCUAACACCUGCACGUCGAACGAGUGGCGGACGGGUGCGUAAUGUCUGGGCAACUGCCCGAUGGAGGGGGACAACUACUGGAAACGGUAGCUAAUACCGCAUACCAUCGGAUGUGCCCAGAGGGGAUUAGCGAGUAGGUGGGGUAACGGCUCACUUAGGCGACGAUCCCGAGCUGGUCUGAGUGGAUGACCGGUCCAACUGGAACCGAGAGAAGGUCCAGACUCCGACGGGAGGCAGAAGUGGGGAAGAUUGCACAAUGGGGGUAAGCCUUAUGCAGCCAUGCCGCGUGUAUGAAGAAGGCCUGCGGGUUGUGAAGUACUUUCAGCGAGAAGGCGUUACUCGCAGAAGAAGCACCGGCUAACUCCGUGCCAGCAGCCGCGGUAAUAC